rnacentral:rRNA from 1 species
GUAAUCAUGAUAACUUUUCGAAUCGCAUGGUCUUGAACCGGCGAUGACUCAUUCAACAUUUCUGCCUAAUCAACUUUCGAUGGUAGGCAUAAGAGGCUACAAUGGUUUUACACGGGUAACGGGGAAUUAGGAGUUCAGAUUCCGGAGCAGGAGAAGCCUGAGAACACGGAUACCAACAUCCAAUGGAAGGACAGCAGGGCGCCAAAUUACCCAAUCCCGACACGGGGAAGGUAGUGACAAUAAAUAACAAUACGGGGCUCAUAGUGGGUCUCGUAAUUGGAAUGAGUACAAUUUAAAUCUCUUAACGAGGAACAAUUGGAGGGCAAGGUCUAGGUGCCAGCAGCCAGGGUCAAUUCCAGCUCCAAUAGCGUAUAUUAAAGUAGUGGCAGUUAA